UGGGGAAUUUUGGACAAUGGGCGAAAGCCUGAUCCAGCAAUGCCGCGUGUGCGAAGAAGGCCUUCGGGUUGUAAAGCACUUUUGUCCGGAAAGAAAUCCUUGGCUCUAAUACAGUCGGGGGAUGACGGUACCGGAAGAAUAAGCACCGGCUAACUACGUGCCAGCAGCCGCGGUAAUACGUAGGGUGCAAGCGUUAAUCGGAAUUACUGGGCGUAAAGCGUGCGCAGGCGGUUUGCUAAGACCGAUGUGAAAUCCCCGGGCUCAACCUGGGAACUGCAUUGGUGACUGGCAGGCUAGAGUAUGGCAGAGGGGGGUAGAAUUCCACGUGUAGCAGUGAAAUGCGUAGAGAUGUGGAGGAAUACCGAUGGCGAAGGCAGCCCCCUGGGCCAAUACUGACGCUCAUGCACGAAAGCGUGGGGAGCAAACAGGAUUAGAUACCCUGGUAGUCCACGCCCUAAACGAUGUCAACUAGUUGUUGGGGAUUCAUUUUCCUUAGUAACGUAGCUAACGCGUGAAGUUGACCGCCUGGGGAGUACGGUCGCAAGAUUAAAACUCAAAGGAAUUGACGGGGUCAUAGCUGUUUCCU
rnacentral:rRNA from 1 species